UACAGAGGGUGCGAGCGUUAAUCGGAAUUACUGGGCGUAAAGCGUGCGUAGACGGUAGCGUAAGUCAGAUGUGAAAGCCCCGGGCUCAACCUGGGAAUUGCAUUUGAGACUGCUCUGCUCGGGUGCGGAAGAGGGAAGCGGAAUUUCCGGUGUAGCGGUGAAAUGCGUAGAUAUCGGGAAGAACACCGGUGGCGAAGGCGGCUCACUGGCUCAUUACUGACGCUCAGGCGCGAUAGCGUGGGGAUCAAACAGG
rnacentral:rRNA from 1 species